rnacentral:lncRNA from 1 species
GUGGGAGCGGGAGCGGGGAGGAACAAGGCCCUGGUGCUGCCCAGAAGGAAGGAAUCUGCAAGUGCAUAGGCCAAAUGGGUAGGAGGGCAACACGGUGCACAUCUCCACGUGGUCUUAGGGAGGACCAGGCUGGCAGGAAGGAAGGGUCAGGUAAGACCCAGAUUAGGCAGUGACAGGCGGAGGGCCAGAGCACCACGUACCAUGGAAUGGGGGUGGCCUUGGGAAAGAGUGUGGAGGAAGGAUGCUCUACCUGGGAUGCGAUCAAGGACAAGUGAGCAUAGGUAGGCAAAAGGGGUGGAGAUCAGUAUGGGAGAGAGCUUUGUAGGGUUAGGAAGUAAAUUCCCCCUUCUCUAAGCCUAGCAGGUGGGACUCGCCAUACCCUCCCUCCCCCAUGGACCUGGCCAGAUGGUGUUUUGUGACGUCAGAGCCUCUGUGCCCACCCAGGGCUCCUAUUGGCUGGUGACUCGUGACCAAACAAAGCCCGAGGGCGUGUCCACCUCCGGGGAAGUCAUAUAUUGGGAGGUCAGGCCCGACCCUGGGCAGUUGGCUGGAGGAGCUCGCCUGACAAGCAUGGCCAGGUACCCCACAGGGCGCGGCACCCUGCUGCGGAAGAAGAGGACGGCCACUUCAGCUCCUAAACUGAAGGGAAAGGUACACAAGAAAUCCAGCAGGGCCAGGACACGCGGUCCCCAGAAGGGGAAGAAGCUGUCUCCGCGAGCUCUGACACCUGCGCGGGGCAACCGAAGAGGCAGAAAGCCCCACCAGGGUUUGGUCCUCCUCAACAGCAGCGCCAACGAGGUGAGCGGCUCCAGCGGGAUGCGCCAGGGCAGGAGCAGGUCCGAGGGCGCCCUGAGAAGACCAGCCCCAGGCCCGCUGACCCGCACACGCCCAGCAGCUCGGAGAGGCCACAAGAGUAGCCUCACCAAGAAGGGCCGCAACAGGUCCACCGGAGGAUGCGGAGCCCUGCCCCUCGCAAGGGGAUGCCAGAGUCCCCUGCCAAGAGAGGUGGCCGGAAACCUCGCCGCCGUUAUCCCAGAGGUGGCUAGAGG